CGGAGGGAUCAUUACACAAAUAUGAAGGCGGGCUGGAACCUCUCGGGGUUACAGCCUUGCUGAAUUAUUCACCCUUGUCUUUUGCGUACUUCUUGUUUCCUUGGUGGGUUCGCCCACCACUAGGACAAACAUAAACCUUUUGUAAUUGCAAUCAGCGUCAGUAACAAAUUAAUAAUUACAACUUUCAACAACGGAUCUCUUGGUUCUGGCAUCGAUGAAGAACGCAGCGAAAUGCGAUAAGUAGUGUGAAUUGCAGAAUUCAGUGAAUCAUCGAAUCUUUGAACGCACAUUGCGCCCUUUGGUAUUCCAAAGGGCAUGCCUGUUCGAGCGUCAUUUGUACCCUCAAGCUUUGCUUGGUGUUGGGCGUCUUGUCUCUAGCUUUGCUGGAGACUCGCCUUAAAGUAAUUGGCAGCCGGCCUACUGGUUUCGGAGCGCAGCACAAGUCGCACUCUCUAUCAGCAAAGGUCUAGCAUCCAUUAAGCCUUUUUUUCAACUUUUGACCUCGGAUCAGGUAGGGAUACCCGCUGAACUUAAGCAUAU
rnacentral:rRNA from 2 species